UACAGAGGUCUCGAGCGUUGUUCGGAUUCAUUGGGCGUAAAGGGUGCGUAGGUGGCGCUGUAAGUCGGGUGUGAAAUCCUGAGGCUUAACCUCGGAACUGCAUUCGAUACUGCGGCGCUUGAGGACUGGAGAGGAGACUGGAAUUCCUGGUGUAGCGGUGAAAUGCGCAGAUAUCAGGAGGAACACCGGUGGCGAAGGCGGGUCUCUGGGCCGAUACUGACGCUGAGGAGCGAAAGCGUGGGGAGCGAACAGG
rnacentral:rRNA from 1 species